rnacentral:rRNA from 1 species
UACGAAGGUGGCAAGCGUUGUUCGGAUUUACUGGGCGUACAGGGAGCGUAGGCGGUUGGAUAAGCCCUCCGUGAAAUCUCCAGGCUUAACCUGGAAAGUGCAGAGGGGACUGUUCAGCUAGAGGAUGGGAGAGGAGCGCGGAAUUCCCGGCGUAGCGGUGAAAUGCGUAGAGAUCGGGAGGAAGGCCGGUGGCGAAGGCGGCGCUCUGGAACAUUUCUGACGCUGAGGCUCGAAAGCGUGGGGAGCAAACAGG